rnacentral:rRNA from 1 species
CACGUAGGGCGCAAGCGUUGUCCGGAAUUAUUGGGCGUAAAGAGCUCGUAGGUGGUUUGUUACGUCUGCUGUGAAAACCUAGGGCUUAACCCCGAGCCUGCAGUGGAUACGGGCAGACUAGAGGUAGGUAGGGGAGAAUGGAAUUCCCGGUGUAGCGGUGAAAUGCGCAGAUAUCGGGAGGAACACCAGUGGCGAAGGCGGCUACCUGGACCAGCACUGACACUGAGGCACGAAAGCGUGGGGAGCAAACAGG